AUUGAACGCUGGCGGCAUGCCUUACACAUGCAAGUCGAACGGCAGCACGGGAGCUUGCUCCUGGUGGCGAGUGGCGAACGGGUGAGUAAUACAUCGGAACGUACCCAGUAGUGGGGGAUAACGCACCGAAAGGUGCGCUAAUACCGCAUACGACCUACGGGUGAAAGCGGGGGACCGUAAGGCCUCGCGCUCUUGGAGCGGCCGAUGUCUGAUUAGCUAGUUGGCGGGGUAAUAGCCAACCAAGGCGACGAUCAGUAGCUGGUCUGAGAGGACGAUCAGCCACACUGGGUCUGAGACACGGCCCAGACUCCUACGGGAGGCAGCAGUGGGGAAUUUUGGACAAUGGGGGCAACCCUGAUCCAGCAAUGCCGCGUGUGCGAAGAAGGCCUUCGGGUUGUAAAGCACUUUUGUCAGGGAAGAAAUCUUUCAGGCUAAUACCCUUGGAAGGAUGACGGUACCUGAAGAAUAAGCACCGGCUAACUACGUGCCAGCCGCCGCGGUAA
rnacentral:rRNA from 1 species